GAUGAACGCUGGCGGCGUGCUUAACACAUGCAAGUCGAACGGUGAAGGCGGAGUUUGUCCUGCUGGAUCAGUGGCGAACGGGUGAGUAACAUGUGAGUAAUCCGCCUCUGACUCUGGGACAUGCGCUGGCAACGGCGACUACUACUGGGUACGAGCUGCGAAGGCAUCUUCAGCAGCUGGCAAGAAUCUCGGUAAGGGAUGAGCUCUCGGGUUACUAGCUUGUUGGUGAGGUAAUGGCUCACCGAGGCAUCGACGGAUAGUCGGCCUGGGAGGGUGACCAGCCACACUGGGACUGAGGCACGGCCCAGACUCCAACGUGGGACAGCAGUGGAGAGUAUUACACAGUGAUCGAGAGCCUGAUGCGGCAGCGCCGCGUGAGGGACGACGGCCUUCGGGUUAUAAACCUCUUUUAGCAAAGAAGAAGCGAAAGUGACGGUACCUACAGAAAAAGCGCCGGCUAACUACGUG
rnacentral:rRNA from 1 species